rnacentral:piRNA from 1 species
UAAAAGUGUUUUGUUAUGGUGUUCAUUUC